AUACGUAGGGGGCGGGCGUUGUCCGGAAUGAUUGGGCGUAAAGGGCGCGUAGGCGGCCCGGUAAGUCUGGAGUGAAAGUCCUGUUUUUAAGAUGGGAAUUGCUUUGGAUACUGUCGGGCUUGAGUGCAGGAGAGGUAAGUGGAAUUCCCAGUGUAGCGGUGAAAUGCGUAGAGAUUGGGAGGAACACCAGUGGCGAAGGCGACUUACUGGACUGUAACUGACGCUGAGGCGCGAAAGUGUGGGGAGCAAACAGGAUUAGAUACCCUGGUAGUCCACACUGUAAACGAUGAAUGCUAGGUGUAGGGGGUAUCGACCCCUUCUGUGCCGCAGUCAACACAAUAAGCAUUCCGCCAGGGGAGUACGGCCGCAAGGUUGAAACUCAAAUGAAUUGACGGGG
rnacentral:rRNA from 1 species